GAUGAACGCUGGCGGCGUGCUUAACACAUGCAAGUCGAACGGAAAGGCCCAAGCUUGCUUGGGUACUCGAGUGGCGAACGGGUGGGUAACACGUGGGUGAUCUGCCCUGCACUUCGGGAUAAGCCUGGGAAACUGGGUCUAAUACCGGAUAGGACGAUGGUUUGGAUGCCAUUGUGGAAAGUUUUUUCGGUGUGGGAUGAGCUCGCGGCGUAUCAGCUUGUUGGUGGGGUAAUGGCCUACCAAGGCGUCGACGGGUAGCCGGCCUGAGAGGGUGUACGGCCACAUUGGGACUGAGAUACGGCCCAGACUCCUACGGGAGGCAGCAGUGGGGAAUAUUGCACAAUGGGCGCAAGCCUGAGGCAGCGACGCCGCGUGGGGGAUGACGGCCUUCGGGUUGUAAACUCCUUUCGCUAGGGACGAAGCGUUUUUGUGACGGUACCUGGAGAAGAAGCACCGGCUAACUACGUG
rnacentral:rRNA from 1 species